rnacentral:rRNA from 1 species
UACGGAGGAUCCAAGCGUUAUCCGGAAUUACUGGGCGUAAAGAGUUGCGUAGGUGGCAUUGUAAGUCGGUAGUGAAAGCGUGGGGCUCAACUCCAUACACAUUAUCGAAACUGCAAAGCUAGAGGACGAGAGAGGUAAUUGGAAUUCCCAGUGUAGGAGUGAAAUCCGUAGAUAUUGGGAGGAACACCGAUGGCGUAGGCAGAUUACUGGCUCGUUCCUGACACUAAGGCACGAAAGCGUGGGUAGCAAACGGG